AUUCUUACCUGGCAGGGGGAAUACCACAAUCAGGAAGGAGGUUUUCCCCCACAGUGAGGCUCUUCCAUUGCACAUCAGUUGGGCUGACCCCUGUGAUUUCCUCUUUUAUCAAUAAAAAUUGAACCCAUUAACGAAUAGUUUUUUGUGGCUUCAUUAAUUUGGCUGCUGAAC